rnacentral:rRNA from 1 species
ACACAUGCAAGUCGAGGGGCAGCAUCAUUAAAGCUUGCUUUGAUGGAUGGUGACCGGCGCACGGGUGAGUAACACGUAUCCAACCUGCCGACAACACUGGGAUAGCCUUUCGAAAGAAAGAUUAAUACCGGAUGGCAUAGUCUUCCCGCAUGGGAUGACUAUUAAAGAAUUUCGGUUGUCGAUGGGGAUGCGUUCCAUUAGGCAGUUGGCGGGGUAACGGCCCACCAAACCAACGAUGGAUAGGGGUUCUGAGAGGAAGGUCCCCCACAUUGGAACUGAGACACGGUCCAAACUCCUACGGGAGGCAGCAGUGAGGAAUAUUGGUCAAUGGACGAGAGUCUGAACCAGCCAAGUAGCGUGAAGGAUGACUGCCCUAUGGGUUGUAAACUUCUUUUAUACGGGAAUAAAGUGAGCCACGUGUGGCUUUUUGUAUGUACCGUAUGAAUAAGGAUCGGCUAACUCCGUGCCAGCAGCCGCGGUAAUACGGAGGAUCCGAGCGUUAUCCGGAUUUAUUGGGUUUAAAGGGAGCGUAGGCGGGUUGUUAAGUCAGUUGUGAAAGUUUGCGGCUCAACCGUAAAAUUGCAGUUGAUACUGGCGACCUUGAGUGCAACAGAGGUAGGCGGAAUUCGUGGUGUAGCGGUGAAAUGCUUAGAUAUCACGAAGAACUCCGAUUGCGAAGGCAGCUUACUGGAUUGUAACUGACGCUGAUGCUCGAAAGUGUGGGUAUCAAACAGGAUUAGAUACCCUGGUAGUCCACACAGUAAACGAUGAAUACUCGCUGUUGGCGAUAUACGGUCAGCGGACCAGCGA